UACGGAAGGCAGCAGUGGGGAAUAUUGCACAAUGGGCGAAAGCCUGAUGCAGCUAUGCCGCGUGUAUGAAAAAGGCCUUAGGGUUGUAAAGUACUUUCAUCGGGGAGGAAAAACAAAACUAAUAAUUUUAUUUCUUGACGUUACCCGAAAAAGAAGCACCGGCUAACUCCGUGCCAGCAGCCGCGGUAAUACGGAGGGUGCUAGCGUUAAUCAGAAUUACUGGGCGUAAAGAGCACGUAGGUGGUUUUUUUAAGUCAGAUGUGAAAUCCCUGGGCUUAACCUAGGAACUGCAUUUUGAAACUGAAAUACUAGAGUAUCGUAGAGGGAGGUAGAAUUCUAGGUGUAGCGGUGAAAUGCGUAGAUAUCUGGAGGAAUACCUGUGGCGAAAGCGGCCUCCUAAACGAAUACUGACACUGAGGUGCGAAAGCGUGGGGAGCGAAACAGGGAUUAGAUACC
rnacentral:rRNA from 1 species